rfam:Oryza rufipogon genomic scaffold, chr01
AAAAAUACAAACCCUGGGUUUCCGUGUCCAACGUUUGACUUCCCGUCUUAUAUAAUUUUUUUUAUAAUUAGUAUUUUUAUUGUUGUUAGAUGAUAAAACAUGAUUAAUAUUUUAUGCGUGACUUGUCUUUUUAAUUUUUUUCCAUAUUUUUUUUAAAUAAGACGGAUGGUCAAACGUUAGACACGUAAAUUCAGGGUUUGUCUUUUU